rnacentral:lncRNA from 1 species
UCUUGGGUGGAUGACCCAUCUUAGCAUUGGACCGAUGUUGGGUCAUUGGCAUCGAUGGUGUAGGUAUUGCAAAAAUUGGAGCAGGAUUGAUGGCUGGAGAUAAGGUCGGAGUAGGUGAAGAUCGAAAAUCCAUCGAUCUGGAAUCUACCGAUCUAGAAGUAGUAGUUGUCUCAUUGCUCCUUUUGGUGGUAGGUUGGGUGGCAGGAUCUUGUUUCCUCUUC